rnacentral:rRNA from 1 species
UUCCAGACUCCUACGGGAGGCAGCAGUGAGGAAUAUUGGUCAAUGGCCGGAAGGCUGAACCAGCCAUGCCGCGUGAAGGUCAGUGCCCUAUGGGCGUUAAACUUCUUUUGUGCGGGAGCAAUAAUGGUCACGUGUGGCCAGACGAGAGUACCGUACGAAUAAGCAUCGGCUAACUCCGUGCCAGCAGCCGCGGUAAUACGGAGGAUGCGAGCGUUAUCCGGAUUUAUUGGGUUUAAAGGGUGCGUAGGCGGUUUUUUAAGUUAGUGGUUAAACGUCGGGGCUUCACCUUGAUUUGCCAUUAAUACUGUAAGACUCGAGUUCAGACGAGGUAGGCGGAAUAAGUUAAGUAGCGGUGAAAUGCUUAGAUAUAACUUAGAACUCCGAUAGCGAAGGCAGCUUACCAGACUGCGACUGACGCUGAAGCACGAGAGCGUGGGUAGCGAACAGGAUUAGAUACCCGCGUA